rnacentral:rRNA from 1 species
UACGAGGGGGGCAAGCGUUGUUCGGAAUUAUUGGGCGUAAAGGGCGCGUAGGCGGUGCGGUAAGUCACCUGUGAAAUCUCUGGGCUCAACUCAGAGUCUGCAGGCGAAACUGCCGUGCUGGAGUAUGGGAGAGGUGCGUGGAAUUCCCGGUGUAGCGGUGAAAUGCGUAGAUAUCUGGAGGAACACCGGUGGCGAAGGCGGCAUCCUGGACCAACACUGACGCUGAGGAGCGAAAGCCAGGGGAGCAAACGGG